rnacentral:rRNA from 1 species
UACGUAGGGGGCAAGCGUUAUCCGGAUUCACUGGGCGUAAAGGGAGCGCAGGCGGCACGGCAAGUCUGGUGUGAAAGCCCGGGGCCCAACCCCGGGACUGCAUUGGAAACUGCCGGGCUGGAGUGCCGGAGGGGCAAGCGGAAUUCCUGGUGUAGCGGUGAAAUGCGCAGAUAUCAGGAAGAACACCGGUGGCGCAGGCGGCUUGCUGGACGGCAACUGACGCUGAGGCUCGAAAGCGUGGGGAGCAAACAGG